rnacentral:rRNA from 1 species
AACGUAGGACGCAAGCGUUAUCCGGAGUUACUGGGCGUAAAGCGCGGGCAGGCGGUCACUCAAGUCUGAUGUGAAAUCUCUCCGCUCAACGGGGAGCAGCCAUUGGAAACUGGGCGACUGGAGUCUGGCAGAGGUAGGCGGAAUUCCGGGUGGAGUGGUGAAAUGCGUAGAGAUCGGCAGGAAGACCAAGGGGGAAGCCAGGCACCUGGGCCCGUACUGACACUCAUGGACGACCGCGUGGGGAGCGAACCGG